rnacentral:rRNA from 1 species
AGCUAAUAGAUACCCGGGUAGUCCACGCCCUAAACGAUGUCUACUAGUUGUUGGUGGAGUAAAAUCCAUGAGUAAACGCAGCUAAACGCGUGAAGUAGACCGCCUGGGGAGUACGGUCGCAAGAUUAAAACUCAAAGGAAUUGGCGGGGGCCCGCACAAGCGGUGGAUUAUGUGGAUUAAAUUCGAUGCAACGCGAAAAACCUUACCUGGCCUUGACAUGCCACUAACGAAGCAGAGAUGCAUUAGGUGCCCGUAAGGGAAAGUGGACACAGGUGCUGCAUGGCUGUCGUCAGCUCGUGUCGUGAGAUGUUGGGUUAAGUCCCGCAACGAGCGCAACCCUUGCCAUUAAUUGCCAUCAUUUAGUUGGGCACUUUAAUGGGACUGCCGGUGACAAACCGGAGGAAGGUGGGGAUGACGUCAAGUCCUCAUGGCCCUUAUGGCCAGGGCUUCACACGUAAUACAAUGGUCGGUACAGAGAGUUGCCAACCCGCGAGGGGAGCUAAUCUCAGAAAGCCGAUCGUAGUCCGGAUUGUUCU